rfam:Firmicutes bacterium CAG:424 genomic scaffold, scf7
UUUCAUAAAACAGGGAGCUUGUGAGACAGGCUGAGAGGAAGGUAAUCCAAACCUUUGACCUGAGAACCUGAUACGGAUAAUGCCGGCGUAGGAAGUAUAACGUUUUUUAGU